ensembl:lncRNA
UUUUUGUCCAGAAAAGGACAGCGUCUUUGUGAAGAGACCCUAGAUGAGAUGCACAGCAGAUUCAGCAUUUUCCCUUUGGUUCUGUCACUCACCAGCAGCGUGGCUUUCCUGAGCGCCGUCUCCCUGGGCUAGUUUACUCAGCCCUUAAAAGGAGACAAUACCAGCCUCAGGAAUGACUUGGAUUUCCUUCCAAAUAAAAUGUCAGCUUAACAGGAUUGGCACCAUGUGUUAUCAGGGGACCUGCUUGGUGAGAGGAGGAGCGAGAAGGAAACAAGGUAGUCAUUUGAGGACAGAAGCCACCUAUUCUGAUAAUGGGAAAAAGAAAGAUGGAGAAGAAAAAAAUAAGGUCAUCUCAGAGCACCCGGGUGGACUCCCUGUGCUAUGCAGAAACUUCUCACAAUACUAUUUACAAUAGCCAGGACGUGGAAGCAACCUAGAUCUCCACGGACAGAUGGAAGGAGAGGUGUGGCACGCACAUACAGUGG